GCCCUCGUAGCUCAGUGGUAGAGCACUUCCAUGGUAAGGAAGGGGUCAUCGGUUCAAUCCCGAUCGAGGGCC
rnacentral:tRNA from 1 species